AUGGGAGCUUUGGAUGGUGGUCUUGAUCUUCCGCACAGUGACAAGAGAUUUGCUGGCUUCAAGAAGGAUAAGCAGCUGGGCGCUGAGAUUCACCUCAAAUACAUCUAUGAAGGUCAUGUUGCUGACUACAUGAAGUCAAUAGCUGAUGAGGAACCUAAGAAGUACCAAUCUCACUUCAGUGAGUACAUCAAGAAGAACUGA
rnacentral:rRNA from 1 species